GACGAACCGAGCGAACGUUGUUCGGAAUCACUGGGCUUAAAGGGCGCGUAGGCGGGUGCUCAAGUCCGGGGUGAAAUCCUCCAGCUCAACUGGAGAACUGCCUCGGAUACUGGGUGCCUCGAGUGUGGUAGGGGUGUGCGGAACUAUCGGUGGAGCGGUGAAAUGCGUUGAUAUCGAUAGGAACUCCGGUGGCGAAGGCGGCACACUGGACCACAACUGACGCUGAGGCGCGAAAGCCAGGGGAGCAAACGGG
rnacentral:rRNA from 1 species